AUUGAACGCUGGCGGCACGCUUAACACAUGCAAGUCGAGCGGUAACAUGACUAGUAGCAAUACUAGUUGAUGACGAGCGGCGGACGGGUGAGUAACACGUAGGAACUUGCCCAGUAGUGGGGGACAACCAAGGGAAACUUUGGCUAAUACCGCAUAUUCUCGAGAGAGGAAAGCUGCCGCAAGGUGGCGCUAUUGGAGAGGCCUGCGUCCGAUUAGCUAGUUGGUGAGGUAAAGGCUCACCAAGGCGAGGAUCGGUAACUGGUCUGAGAGGACGGCCAGUCACACUGGGACUGAGACACGGCCCAGACUCCUACGGGAGGCAGCAGUGGGGAAUCUUGGACAAUGGGGGCAACCCUGAUCCAGCGAUGCCGCGUGAGUGAAGAAGGCCUUCGGGUCGUAAAGCUCUUUAGGCUGGGAAGAAGGUUGGUAGUUUAAGAGAUAAUCAAUUUGACUGUACCAGCAGAAUAAGCACCGGCAAACUCUGUGCCAGCCGCCGCAGUAA
rnacentral:rRNA from 1 species